AAAAAGCCAAAGAAAAAUCCAAGACUGCAGCAGAAACUAAAAAGGAGAAAAGGAAACACAAACUUCCAGUUUCAAAGCCAGAGCCUGCAGCUGCACAGCACAAGAGGAAAUCAGCGCCUGAGAGGACAGCGUCAGCUGUCAGGAGCAAGGCCAAGGCUGCCAAACACCGGAAAGGUAAGUUCAGUUUAAAACCUGCUAACCUUCGGGCAUAAAAUACCAUAAAACGCUUUAAAAAGUACACAAAUUAA